GCGGCGCUACACUGCAAGGCGGUGUCCAAAGUCUGGGGUCUGCGAAGCAAGGACGGAGGCGGCGCGGGAGCGCUGGGCACCGCAGCCGAGGAGACUUUUCCGUGCAACGGGAAGAAAGAGAAAGGACCGGAGGCCCCUCUGUGGUUUGGGUUUUGCUGUUGUUUUCCAGUCGCUUCGAUGAGGCAGCCCCACGUGCCGUCUCCGUCCCUCUGGUUGUCCAGGACUCAUGUGUUCAAAUGAAUAGAAGGAGUGUGACGAAGCUGUGGCGUCGAACUGGUCCGCGGAAAAAGGGAAUUGAACAAGAAACUAACAGCCGGACUCUCUCUGCCUCGGGGCAGGUGCCUGAGAGAGCCUGACAUGCAUGGGGGAGCCUCUGAGCAAUUCCUCGCUCUCCCAUGGCCCGUCCUGGGUGCCCUCCCACCGCUGUCCCCUGCGGAGCCCUCCCCCGGAUGGGUGUUUCCUACAGCUCUAAGCUUCGGUCAACAGCCUGAUUCUGGACGCGAGCCAGAAAUGGGAGCAAGCGUUCAUUCGGCUUCUGGAAAUAGUCCCUCCGUCGUCCUUGAGCGCACUGUUACCCCAUUCUCAGUCCCUGCGCAGUGGUCCUCGUUCCCCAACACUCCCCUGAGAAGAAUAAGUAUGUGACUCAGAUGUGGCAGAAAAAAUCAUAUCCUUCCUUUGGCCUCAGUGAUUGAUCAGGAAUGGGCAUGUGACUGAACUGGAGAUUAUAAGACAAGAAGGGUCUUUUAGUGGGAGGGACACGUGUUUUAGCUGCAUCUGAGCCUUGGGGGAUCAGGCUAUGAAUUGACCAGACAGAACAUCUUACAAUGAAGUCAACCCAGAACUUAGAGCCAGGAAGUAGAGAGAAACUGAAUCAUGAUGGCAUCAGCUGAACCCUAACAUGAACCCUGAACCCUAAUUGUGAACCCUCUACUUGAUACCACCUUUAGUACCAGAUUUUCUCAGAUACCUGAGAGAAAAAUCUCUUUCACGAUUAAGACCAUUGCAUAUGCUGUUAUCCAAAUAUUACACACAAUACUCCCAGUUUUCCAGAAGCAAGCUGCCAUAUUGGAGUGACCCACCUGACAUGGACAUGGCACUGAGGUCUCCAGCUAACUCCAGCCCAUAGAAAACAAGAGAUUGAGGGUCUCAGCCCAUCAUGCCUUGAGGAAAUGAACCCUUCCAAGAACUACUGAAGUGAACACAGAAGUGGAACCUGAUCCUUCCCCAUUCAAACCUGCAGAUGAGACCCACGACCCAGUUUACAUCUUGAAAGCCUUGUAAGAGACCCUAAAGCAGAGAACCCAGACCACCGAAAAGAAAGCUACACGUCAAGCACAACCCUUCUCUUGUUCCCUACCUUGACUGAAGGAGGAAUCUGUUCAAAAAAUCUUUCCCACGUCAGUUUGCAUCUCUGGUACAUUUUUUUGACCACAUUGGUCCUGCCUGUACCUACAGUCUGUAGGACUCACAACAGUAAAAGCAUCCUUUAAAGUUUGAACAAGAUAAAUACCACCAAAAGAUGUCCAAGAAAGAAGGGUCUUAUAAAAAUGGUACAUCAAAUUUAUUCUUGAAAAUCAUCUGGUCAUCAGCAAGAAAGGCAGAGAACCUGAUCCUGGCAAAUGGAAACCAAAGACACAUGACGAUGAAUGUAAAUGUGAUUAUGGACUGAUGCAUGAUGGAGGUUAAAUAAAAGGGCCACAAUGAAACAUUUGGAACACUUUGAAAAAUUACAAGAAAAAAAAAUCACAAAGGACAUUCAUUCCUCAAUAAAUGGGCAAAAAUGGAAUAUGAAAGAGAUUAAAAUUUUAUGACAAUUGUAACUGUACUAUGAGUGCAGAAUGGAUAUUUUUAUUAAGGAAUACACAGAUAUUCAAGAAUAAUGUGCAAAAUUCAUGAGAUGUAUUUCUCAACAUUUGGAAAUGGAUACAGAGAAAAAAGGAUGCUAGGGAAGGAGAAUAAACUGAAAUAGCAGAGAUUUUUUUUAAAUGGAUCAAAUAUUAAUUGGUAAUCUGAAUAGAGUAUGUAAUUGUUUACCAUCCAUGCCCCUUUUCCACACAUUUGUCAGAUAUGUUCUUUACAUUGCAAUUUCUGCGUUUGAUACCCACAGCUGCCAUCACCACCCUACCCAGACCCCAGAAAUGUGCAAUGCCGACUCUAAAGCAGUUGACUCGGGUUCUGUGUCAGGCAGAACUUGGGACAUCUUGUACAUGAGUCAUGCGGACAUUGCAACAGGGUUUUACAAAAUACUGGAAAUACUAGUCUCCCUCCCAUUAAAAAAAAUUUAAUAUACACACUGUAAAAAACAAAAAAUUCCACAUGUUUUCAGCAUAUAACCCUAAUUUCUUAUCUGGUGUCUCCAGGAAAGAUCUCAUUCAUUUCCUGGGGUUACAUGGUUUGAAUGGGUUUGCCACCUCUGCUGGUAAUUACCACUCCUCGUGGAUUUCCAUCUCCCAAAAUGUAUUGACAUCAUUGUUGUAGCUUCUCUCUUCUUGUCAUCAAGCGCUUCAACUUUUUAAAUCACUGUUAAUGGUUUUAUUGAAAUAGAGUUCACAUACCUUAUGUUUCAUCCAUCUAAAGUAUAUAAUUCCAUAACUUUUAGUAUAUAUCACAGACACAUAUAACCAUCAUCAUGGCCAAAUUUAAAUAAUUUUCAUGAAAAUGAAAAGAAACCCAGUAAACUAGCUUUCAUCCCUCUUUUUUUCUCAUUUCCCCACUGCAAUGCAACAGCUAAUCUACUUUGUCUUUCUGGAUUUCCAUAUUCUGGAUAUUUCACCAGGUAAAUAAUGUGUGUGGUCAGUUGUCACUGGGUUCUCUCACUUAACAUGUUUUCAGUGUCCGUUCACAUCACAGCAAUAUCAGUAGUUUUUCUUGCCAAGCAUGUUACCCUGAUUCUGUGGAAAUAGAGCAUUAUAUUUACCUAUUCUUCAGUGGAUAAAUGUUAGUGUUGUUUCUAUCUUUUUACUAUUAUGAGUAGUAGUACUAUGAGCAUUCAUUUACAAGUUUGUGUGUGGAAAGAUGUUUUCAUUUUUCUUGAGUAUAUAUCUAGAAGUAGAGCUUCUAGGUCAUAGCCUGAGUCUAUGUUUGACAUUUUGAGGAACUUCCAAACUGUUUUCCAGAACAACUACACCCUUUUCCCUUCCCACGAGCAGUAUAAGGGUUCCACUUUCUCUACCUUCUCACAAACAUGUUAUUAUCUGAUUUUUUUAGUCUAGCCAUCCUUGUGUAUAUGACAUAUCAUCUCAUAGAGGUUUUGAUUUUCAU